GGCAACAUAGCUCAGUUGGUAGAGCACCGCAUUGAAAAUGCGGGUGUCCCCGGUUCAAGUCCGGGUGUUGCCA
rnacentral:tRNA from 1 species